rnacentral:tRNA from 1 species
UGUGCUGUGGCUUAGUUGAUGAAAGCGCCGGACUAGCGAUACGGAGUCGUGGGAUCGAGUCCCACCAAAACAA